UCUGCUGUGCUGUGCAGACCGGCAGGGCAGAGAUGCCUUCUCGGGGAAGGAAGUCGGGCUUGGUUUGAGCACAAAUUGACUUAUUAGAUCCUUGUCCUUUUCUAGGCUACUGCUUCUGGUGGCCUGGCACACGUGGACUGAGGAGAUGUGACGCAUGAAGUAAGAAAUGCCCUGCAAACAGAUGAACGCUACGGAGCCAGGAGAUACUGCCCAUGCUGUGCAGCGUCAGAGCAGCAGCAGCCGUAGUGGAAGGAGAGUGUCAUUGCUCCUCCUGUUGCAACUUGUGUGGAUCCUGCCUCUGCCUAUGACUAUGCCUCCACGGCCUCUGAAAUGCCACCGUUUGUGAGAGAUGUGGAAACAGGAUCCCUUCCUCUUCCUUCAAGAUAAGCAGCGUUUAGUUACACAACUAUGGGACUUGACAGCCGGCUAGAAGCAUCCAGGCUCCUUAUCACAGCUCCAUCUCCCGGGGUGUCUAUGAAGCACGCAGGCCCCGCCACGUAGAUGUCUACGCACCCAAGUGCCAAGGCUUUGGACCAACUGAGAAACCCUGGGUGACUGCCUCAGCUUUCUUUGCCCGUAAGCGGGGUGAUGACAGUACCUGCCUCGCAGAACUGCUGUGACCCGAUACGUGACCGAUAUGAUUGGCACAGUGCCCGGCACAUGACGAGUGGUAGGUAAACGUUAGCUGUCACUAUUCCCCCAUUUCACAGGGGAGGGAAACUGAGGCUCAGAGGGGUGAACCGACCUUCCCUGGGUCACAGAACCAGUUGGUGGCAGAAGGAAGAUCCAACCUUGUAAGUGAUCUUCCAACUUGGAGCUGGAUGAUCCACAGUGAGGAGGGAUCCCCCUCAUUCACCAUCCCCCCAAACGGCACUACUUCUUGCCAUUUAGACAGGACAAAAAGACAGCCGGUGGGCAGGGUUUAAAAGAUGAUGAGAAGGGAGCCCUGGCCGGUUUGGCUCAGCGGUUGGAGGGUCGG